rnacentral:tRNA from 1 species
ACUCUUGUAGCUUAAAACGACAAAGCAUUGGUCUUGUAAACCAAAGAACGAAGACUCGAACUCUUCCAAGAGUA